AUGGAUACACAGAACACAUUCCUUCCGUUAGGCAAAGCUAAGUAUCUCAUAUGCUGCAUAUGAGUCAGUCCUAAGAAGACAAUGAAAAACACUAUGGGGUCUGAGGACCCACAGAGUGACACAGGGAUGACUUUAAUGAAUCUUCUUUCCUUCUCCUCUAUUCAUAAUUACUGGUGAAGUUAGCAGUGCGGAAAUGCCAGUGGGUACAAUGAAACAGAAGCAAAACUGUCCCAACUAAAGCCUUCUUAUCCAAGAGCCCAAGAAAGGAGCCAAAGGCUUUUGAUGUCUGCACUGCAUGAUUCUUACACCCAACAGAAAAUCUCAGCCCUGCUAGUCUCUCUGUGUCACCAAAUACAUGUAAAAGCUCAGCUAAGGGCAUAUACUCACCAUAAACUAUGAUUUAUUUAUCAUCAAAGGCUUCUCCUCUCCCUUACCACACCAGUAACGCUCCAGGGUAGAAACAGUAGAUUCUAGCUAGAGGAUCUGCAAGUCAAAAAAUAUAUGAAAGUAAAACUGGGAGAAUGGACAAGAGAUGUCAACAAGUUGACAUUACUCAUGGAGACAUAAUCGCUCCUCCUUAGAACAACUGGAGAGAGAGCCAAUGUAGGUAAAGGGAUAAACACCACCAGUCACCAAGGUUAUAUCAAUACUCAAUGGCUGAAUGCAUCCAAAGCUUCUAAAGAAUUAACAUGAAGGCAACCCAAAAUAUUUUUCUAGAAAAUAUGAGGAAGAAACACCUCUCGAGAACUUUUAUGAACCUAGCUCUAUAUUAAAACCAGACAAAUAAAUUUUAAAAACCCUAUAAAUCAAUGUUUAUCAUAGUUACACAAAACUUCAGACCAAAAUAUUAACAAAUGAUCUCAAUAAUCUAAAAAUAGUUAUAUAUCACAAGUAAGUUCAGUUGUUUAUUCAAAGGAGAAAAGGCUCAAUACAGCCAACCUUAUUGUUGGGCCAAAGAAGAAAAAAAAUUACAUGAGAAGAAAAACUACAAUUGAUACAGAAAGGCCUUCGGGCAAAGUGAGGACCAAGUCUUGAUUUUUUUUAAAAAGAGUUUCUGAAGAUGAUAGAAACGGAGAGGAAUAUCUUCAACUUGAUAAAGAUCACCCACCAAAGCAUUCAGCUAAGUUUGCACUUGAUUGUGAGACACAGAAUACUUUCCUGCUAAGAUCCGCAAGAAGGCAAAGAUAUCUGGUCCCAGACACACAGAUCAAUGGAUCAGAAUAGAGAGCCUGAAAGAGACUCACACAGGCAUGUACAAUUGACUUUUGACAAAGGUGCAAAGGCAUUCAGUAGAGUAAAGACACUGUUUCCAGAAAUGGUGCCGAAGCAGUUGGAUGUCCACAUGUGACAAAAAUGAACCCAGACUUAAGUCUUGCACAC
rnacentral:lncRNA from 1 species